rnacentral:lncRNA from 1 species
AUACUGUUGUACUUUGCUGAACGUGUUAUGUCAGAUUAAACAUGUGCUGAAUGUUUUUUAAUUACAACGCUUAGAAGAAAAUUCUAAAGCAUGUUGCCACACAGUUAAUAUGUGGGUUUAAAGGUUAUAUAUGCCCUGAUGAGAGGAACUGGCUAGGUUAUCAAGAUCCAUAUUUUAUUUUGAGGCAAGAAGGCUGAUGCAAGCCCUGAAGUGACCUGACAGUUUGCUGGCAAGUUUGUGAGAGUGACAGAAGCACCACUGCUCAUCACAUGAAUUCCUCCAGACACCCGGGCUCCAGCCUCCCUCCUAAGGCUUCAAACCUAAAGGUACGAGCAUCUUAUGCCCUGGGGGCUGAAUGCAUGGAAUGAAAUUCACAAUCUGCUCCAAGAAGAAAUGCAGUCUGUUCAUCACCAUGUGCAAGGCACUAAAAUCCUCUCCAGAAGUCUUCCUCAUAUUGGUCUGCAGUGCUUCUCUGUGCUGGAUGUACUUCUGUACAAACACACCAGUGCUUGACAAGAAAGAUCCACUGUCCAGAACUGUUCGACAUACAGCUGAAAGCAAGCCAGGUUUCUAUUUAAUAAAAAUACAUAAGCCACAGAUCCCUGACAAAGGAAGAAGCUGUGUGCAUAGCAGCUGGAUAUCAAAUAUGACACCUGGAGGAGGAGGAGGAGGAAUAAAAAGAAGACAACAAACGUUCAGAAUAUUUCUUUGUUACACUAUCUGUUCUGCUGGACAGAGCACUUCACAGUUAUGACUACUUGAGACCUAAAAUAAUUACAAAUUCAUAUAUUACUUUCUGCCUCAGGCAUCUGGGUCUACUAUUUACAGAAAUUAAUAUAAAUGGGGUGUCAGUGAUUUGCCUGACUGGAAUAAACAUGCUCAAGCACAGAUAUCUGUGCAGAAUAUGCAGAGAAAUUUGAUAAAGAAGCAGAUGGCUUGCAAUUUUCUCCUUUUUAUUUCUUGCUCUAUCAGCACUAACAAGACUCAAGACACUGUUCCCAAGCUUGUAGGUUUUAAGUCUGGGUGCUAUCAUUUGUAACUUUCUAACAGGACUUUUCAAGGGGGGGAGCACUAAACUGAUGCCACUUCAGCACCACUUGUGAUCACUGAAGAAAAGGAUACUUAACACAAAGAGCAGGAAAUUAUUUGCUAAGGUUUAAUUUACAAACCUACCAACCGUGAUAUUCAGUCAUCAACUUGUUUUGCACAGCUGGUGCAGGUACAGGAAGAACAGCCACCCCUCCACCUUCCCAUUAGAACAGAGGGUCUAGUGAACAACACACCACAUCAGCGCACUGCUGCUGAGCAAUUUCCUUUCUGUUUUACUAACAACUUUCUCUACUUGGAAGCUGGAAGUUUCUCUUUUUCCACCGAUGAAAUUAGGGAGAAAAAACCUCACUGUUCACUGUGUCCUGAUGGAGGUGUGUAGUUGAGAUGAUUUUGUACAAUAUGUAUCUCAGCUGAAGAACUGUGUUACAUGAACUAGUGUCUCCUUUUUAUAUUUUUAUAUGGUUCUCAUCUCAGGUUUAGUGAAGGGGUUCCCCAUUCAACACAACAUGCACUGUGAAAACUUAACAUUGCUACAUACUCCAUACAUCUAGGAUGAUACUUUGAUCUUUACAGUGUUGUUCACAGACCUAUCAUCUCCCUAAAGGUCUUUCUGAUCCUCCCGACCCAUGUCAGUUCAAGACCUGCUACUUAUGAAGCUUGUCCUGAUUUUUCAGGCUUCCAGUUUUGGCCAGUGUAGGAGCCAAGCUGUCUGUUCUUACAGCCAGAGCUCAAAUGUGAUGGGGUCUCACCGUUACAAUUCCAUGUUCGAGGGAAGAAACAUUCCCAGUGGAAAUUCCCAGAAGCAGUUUUUGGGUUUGGGAAGUUGGACUCCAUAGAGAAAAUUCUAUGAAGCUUUAACAUUGUCCAUUCUUUUUUUUCAUCCUUUUUAUGAAUUCUACCCCAAACAUCAGACUUGUUGCUAAAGGAGUUUUUUUAUUCCGUGUUGUUAAAGUACUGUCAAGUGGGAUUGAAGCCAUUUGGCUUAAAUUCCCACUCAAAAUAAUACAGGUCCCCAGAUAGAAUAACACCCAUUCAGCUACUCCUGCAAUGCAAUUGAUAGCUUGUUUGCCAAUAAUUUCACAUGUGGACAUGUGCCAUAGUUAACAGAGCACAUGUGGAUCUCUUGUAGGAAUUCAGAGCCCAGUGAAUACAAGACAAAAAAGAGUAAAAUUGGAAGAGGAGAAAAAUACACAAAAAAGGAGAAGAGAUGAGAUACACUUCAAGAUAGAGCAGGUGUGCAGGUUCUUCUUGACCUUUGAUUUCCAAAAAGAGGAAUUCAGGAAGUGAGACGACUUUCUGUGAAUAGAUCAAAUACCCUGGAGAUAUAGAGGCCAAGAGAAAAAGGUUAUAGGCUCCUUCUUAUAAAUAAUUGAUUCAGCUGAUGAUCAAGUAAUGUACAAGAAGUUUAGUGGAGAGAAAGAAGGAGAAGGUUUAUUAUGCAGUAGAUAGAAAAGGCCAUUAUUUAAUUUCCUUCCAUGGUGCAUAAAUUGGGAGGGGCAUAUGCGAACACAGGGUUUAGUUUGUGAACUUUGUGAACUCUGGAAGUCCAUGUAUUCAGAAGUUGCUGCGUCCUGUGGCAAGCAGAUGAGCUUAUUGCACAGCAGAAUUUGGGUUCAUGGAAAGCUCCUCAAUUUCUAAAAUCAUAGAAAGCAAGAAUAAGCUACUGUUGGCAAUAUGGAGAUCAGGCUAGCCAUAGCAAAACCAAAUGCAUGUACUGGCCAGAUCAUAACCCAGAAAACUCAAUCCUGUUCAUUCCUUACUCAAAUGUGUGAUGAAAAAUGGAAUCCCCCCUCCCCUUCCAGCAGUCAUCCUGGGCCAGCAACAGCUUACUAUGCAUGUAGCAGCUGUCUUUUUUUUUUGGUAUUUCUUUCUUUUUUAUAGAUUUUUUUUUUUAAUAAUUAGAAGAAAACUUGUCAUAAUGAUUAAUUGCAGAGGAAGUAAUGUAUUAAAUUGGUCAAUAUCGAAGUUAUUUGUCUCAGACACAAUACAGUGGUGUAUUAAUCAUGAAGAUUGGAAUAAAGUCCCUUUAUGGAUUCAUUAUGGACAUGAAUUAAAAACAUCUUUAAUUUGUCCCUACUAAAGCUCUGCAGAGCUUUAAGUGCUUCUAGAAUUUAAAUGAUUGCCACAACUGGUCUCAUGGAAAAGUCUGAGAAUAGAUUUUUUUUAGUGCUGGAAGAGAUACAUGAGAACUGUUUUUCAUCUUAUUUGUGUAUAAAAUGUAAAUGCCACUGCAUUUAAUAUAGUAAGGUUACAUCAAUAUGGAGUAAAUGAACUAAAAGGGUCUUAGAACUCAGUACUUAUUUCUACGCUUCACUAAAUUACAUUAUUCCUGGAGACCAGAAUUCCUAUCCCAUUUUCUUAUCAAAUCAGCUACACAUUAAAUGUCACAGAUUUUAAAUCUGCUGGGUACUGUCAGGGUCCCUUCCCCCCUGCCAUGUAGCCCUGGGAGAGGGGCUCUGGGUGGGAGAGAUGGGCUUUCCCUGCCCCUGGUCAGCCUCGUUCCCCAUUGGUUGGUUUGUGUUCCCCUGCGGGGGCAAGGACCCUCGGGUCCCGUGAUUGCAGCAGUUCCUCGGCAGAUCCCGGCCAUGCGGCUGGAGAAAUAAACAUCCCUGAAACAUCUAUCGAGAAUCAGUCCAUAUAGAUUUCUUUCCCAGGGCCUUGUUGUUUGAUACAUCGUGUUACAGAAUCCCCACUGUAAGAAAUGGUGGCGAAUUGCGAGCAAAACAAUCCCCGAUCCCUAAGCGACUGGUUUGUGAGUAAAGAAACUUUGGAUUCCUCUUCUUGGUUUUGUUUUGCUAUUCCAUAUCUAAACCGUGGAGGAACCGUGGGAAGACUCUUGGCUCUCAGAGCCGCAUAUGGACAUUUAUCUAAAACUUGAAAUGAUUCUUGAAAAACGAUUUGUAAAAUUUAGCUUGAUUCAAGCUCAAAAGGAACUGAAACACUUCCUGGAACGGUUGUUAAGAUCUUUUUCUGUUUCUUGGGAUUUCUUACCAAAGACUUUUGGAACACUGUUUGGACACAGUUAAUUUUUGAGUCAAAAUAUAUGCCGAUGGAAGAAUAUUUUCGUGAAUAUUAUUUAAUUACCGAGACUGUUGAGCAAUGUCAGCUAUGUCCUGGCUCAGGGAAACGUGCCUCAGGGACUGUGCGACCCAGGCCACGUGG